GUCAUAUGCUUGUCUCAAAGAUUAAGCCAUGCAUGUCUCAGUACAAGCCAAAUUAAGGUGAAACCGCGAAAGGCUCAUUAAAUCAGUUAUGGUUCCUUAGGUCGUACCCACAAUUACUAGGAUAACUGUGGUAAUUCUAGAGCUAAUACAUGCAAACAGAGCUCCGACCGGAGACGGAAGGAGUGCUUUUAUUAGAUCAAAACCAAUCGGUGGCGGGUUCGCUCGUCAUCGUACAACUUGGUGACUCUGAAUAACUUUACGCUGAUCGCACGGUCAUCGCACCGGCGACGCAUCUUUCAAAUGUCUGCCUUAUCAACUGUCGAUGGUAGGUUCUGCGCCUACCAUGGUUGUAACGGGUAACGGGGAAUCAGGGUUCGAUUCCGGAGAGGGAGCCUGAGAAACGGCUACCACAUCCAAGGAAGGCAGCAGGCGCGCAAAUUACCCACUCCCGGCACGGGGAGGUAGUGACGAAAAAUAACGAUACGGGACUCAUCCGAGGCCCCGUAAUCGGAAUGAGUACACUCUAAACCCAUUAACGAGGAUCAAUUGGAGGGCAAGUCUGGUGCCAGCAGCCGCGG
rnacentral:rRNA from 1 species